AGAGUUUGAUUCUGGCUCAGGAUUAACGUGGCAGCGUGCCUAAUACAUGCAAGUCGAGCGGCCCGCAAGGGCAGCGGCAGACGAGAGAGUAAUAGUAAGGAACUUGCCCCCAAGUGAAGGACAGCCAUCCGAAAGGAUGGGUAAUCCUGCAUAAUAUCGAAAGAUCAAAGCCGCAAGGCGCUUGGGGAGAGGCCUUACACCUAUCAGCUUGUUGGCGAGGUAAAUGCUCACCAAGGCGAUGACGGGUAGCUGGUCUGAGAGGAUGACCAGCCUCGAUGGGACUGAGACACGGCCCAUACUCCUACGGGAGGCAGCAGUAGGGAAUUUUGCACAAUGGACGAAAGUCUGAUGCAAGCAACGCUGCGUGAAGGAUGAAGGUUUUCGGAUCGUAAACUUCUUUUAUCUGGGAAUAAUCUUGAAGGUACCAGAUGAAUAAGCACCGGCUAACUACGUGCCAGCAGCAGC
rnacentral:rRNA from 1 species